rnacentral:misc_RNA from 1 species
GUGAAUCAUCGAAUUUUUGAACGCAAAUUGCACUCUCCUCUGAGAGUAUGCCUGUUUGAGGUUCAGCCUAUAAAAAAUCGACAUCGUUGCUGUUUCGCGGUGUCGUUCGUCUUAAAUUGGGUCAUCUUAAAUCUUUUGGUUUUAGGCGACUUAAAAUUUUCUUUUUUUUUCCAUGAACUUUUCUAAGAUUUAUUUCUUUACACGUUUAAGGUAUCUAUUUUUAUUAGACUUGACCAUCAUAUCUGAUCGCUCCCUUAAUCUUUCAUUAACUGACCUC